CGCGCAGGCGGCUCGUCAAGCCUGACGUGAAAGCCCCCGGCUCAACCGGGGAGGGUCGUCGGGGACUGGCGGGCUUGAGGUCGGCAGGGGCUGGUGGAAUUCCCGGUGUAGUGGUGAAAUGCGUAGAGAUCGGGAGGAACACCCGUAGCGAAGGCGGCCAGCUGGGCCGUACCUGACGCUGAGGCGCGAAGGCGUGGGGAGCGAACG
rnacentral:rRNA from 1 species